AUUGAACGCUGGCGGCAGGCCUAACACAUGCAAGUCGAGCGGAGCGACGGGCGGGUGAGUAAUGCAUAGCACUGUGCCUGGUAGUGGGGGGGAACGUCCGGCAACGGGCGCUAGUAACGACUACAAUCAGAUAGAUCUACGUCGGAUUAACUAGUUGGUGGGGUAAGGACCGACCAAGGCGAGGAUCCGUAACUGGUCUGAGAGGAUGAUCAGUCACACUGGGACUGGGACACGUGCCAGCGUCCUACGGGAGGCAGCAGUAGGGAAUAUUGGACAAUGGGCGCAAGCCUGAUGCAGCCGUGCCGCGUGUGUGAAGAAGGUCUUCGGAUUGUAAAGCACUUUAAGUUGGGAGGCGUUACCAACAGAAUGGGCACCGGCUAACUUCGUGCCAGCAGCCGCGGUAGUAC
rnacentral:rRNA from 1 species